rnacentral:rRNA from 1 species
UUCGCAAUGCCCGAAAGGGUGACGAAGCGACGCCGCGUGCGGGAAGAAGGCCUUCGGGUUGUAAACCGCUGUCGGGAGUUAAGAAAUGCAAGGAUGUUAAUAGCGUCUUUGCUUGACUAAGGCUCCGGAGGAAGCCACGGCUAACUCUGUGCCAGCAGCCGCGGUAAUACAGAGGCGGCAAGCGUUGUUCGGAAUUAUUGGGCGUAAAGAGCACGUAGGCGGCUGUGUAAGUCGGUUGUGAAAGCCUUCCGCUCAACGGAAGAACGGCAUCCGAUACUGCAUGGCUUGAGUGCGGGAGGGGAGAGUGGAACUUCUGGUGGAGCGGUGAAAUGCGUAGAUAUCAGAAGGAACGCCGGCGGCGAAAGCGGCUCUCUGGCCCGUAACUGACGCUGAGUGUGCGAAAGCUAGGGGAGCAAACGGGAUUAGAUACCCCGGUAGUCCUAGCCGUAAACGAUGGGCACUAAGUAGAGGGGUUUU